GUUGUGACAGUCGGACAUUGAGGUUUAUCAGAGACUGCAACGGUUCGAGUUAAAAAGCUUCGUUUGUGUUCUACUGAAGAAACAAAGUCACCUACAUCUUGGAUGCCCUGGGGGAAAGCACCCUUCAGCAAUGGGAGGAUGUGAAUCCCUGCCAUGGACAGAUGUGGACGGAUCCAGAAGAUCAGAGUUCAGUGCGGGAGAGUUUGGUGAUAAGAUCAGAUCCCAAAUAAGCUUGAUCACCAUCUCAUAAACAGACACUGCUGAGUAUUGUUGAGCUCUGUCCGGUGUGUAUGGGACCGGAGGACUCCAUCAGGAUAAUUGAGUUCUCUCCAUCAGUAUGCACACACACUCAGGGCUUUUUCUCCCUGACGACGGCUCUUGAGCAUGUGAGCCCUGCACUGGUUGCUCUCUGGUUGGCUGGCACGGCUUGCAGUGAGGGUGGUGUUGAGCCAGGCUCCUGGCAGACUGUCGUUUUGUCUCCAUUCUCCUUUCCAUCCUGUCUCUUCUCAUAUAUAAGCUACACUUCCUUAUUCUAUUCUUAUCCAGAAGGCAAGGUUCAGAAUUCAGUACUUGCCUACUACAAAUACUGCU